rnacentral:rRNA from 1 species
CAAUCAAACCGGGAGAUAGCUGGUUCUCCCCGAAAGCUAUUUAGGUAGCGCCUCGUGAAUUCAUCUCCGGGGGUAGAGCACUGUUUCGGCUAGGGGGCCAUCCCGGCUUACCAACCCGAUGCAAACUGCGAAUACCGGAGAAUGUUAUCACGGGAGACACACGGCGGGUGCUAACGUCCGUCGUGAAGAGGGAAACAACCCAGACCGCCAGCUAAGGUCCCAAAGUCAUGGUUAAGUGGGAAACGAUGUGGGAAGGCCCAGACAGCCAGGAUGUUGGCUUAGAAGCAGCCAUCAUUUAAAGAAAGCGUAAUAGCUCACUGGUCGAGUCGGCCUGCGCGGAAGAUGUAACGGGGCUAAACCAUGCACCGAAGCUGCGGCAGCGAACGUAUCACCCAAGACAACUUUACGGAGUUGACGAUUGACGGAGCGAAGCGACGUCAAAGCGUUCAUUAAAGUCGAGUUGGCUUAGGGAUACGUUCGUUGGGUAGGGGAGCGUUCUGUAAGCCUGUGAAGGUGUGUCGUGAGGCAUGCUGGAGGUAUCAGAAGUGCGAAUGCUGACAUAAGUAACGAUAAAGCGGGUGAAAAGCCCGCUCGCCGGAAGACCAAGGGUUCCUGUCCAACGUUAAUCGGGG